rnacentral:lncRNA from 1 species
UAUCAUUUAAAAUCUGUUCACAUUGAUCAAGAAUGUUAAAAUAAAAGUCAAUCUUAAUUUUCCUAGAAACUCAGAAACAGCUUCUGGUUAUGGCAGGUUCUGUGUUAGAAUAAGUAUUUCAAACAGGUGUGUGCAAUUCAAACUGUACCAUGCCUACAAAUUGUUAUACUGCUUGUUUCUACAGUAUCUGUUGUGGCCUCUCCUUUUUGUUAGUGAACACGGGAAACUUCAUGCAAGGAAGAUCUUCCAUGGACAUUUCUCAGUGCAGCCUUACACAGCCAGGUGCAGCACACUGAAGGAAGUGCGGUCUUUGUUCACUGCUGCUGUCUGAGGAGGCGUGCGGUACUCACCCCCACUGCUGCGGAUUUAGAAGCACGUCCUUCAGCUGGAGGGAUUCCACAAGAGGAGCCCUGAUCUGGAUGAGCUGUGUGAGAGACACAGCAGUGGAUGGAGCUGCAGCCACCCAACUGUGUGCCCAC